rnacentral:rRNA from 1 species
CCUACGGGAGGCUGCAGUGAGGAAUAUUGGUCAAUGGACGCAAGUCUGAACCAGCCAUGCCGCGUGCAGGAAGAAGGCUCUAUGAGUGGAAAAAUGCUGGUGUACGAGGGUAAAUCACGAUACGUGAAUAGGGUUGAAAGGAUAGUACGAAUAAGGAGCGGCUAACUCAGUGCCAGCAGCCGCGGUAAUACGGAGGAUUCAAGCGUUAUCCGGAUUUAUUGGGUUUAAAGGGUGCGUUGGCGGUUCGAUAAGUUAGAGGUGAAAUCCCGGGGCUCAACUCCGGCUCUGCCUCUGAUACUUUCGGGCUAGAGUUUAGUUGCUGUAGGCGGAAUGUAUGGUGUAGCGGUGAAAUGCAUAGAGAUCAUACAGAACACCGAUUGCGAAGGCAGCUUACCACACUACGCCUGACGUUGAUGCACGAAAGCGUGGGGAGCAAACAGGAUUAGAUACCCGAGUAGUC